ensembl:lncRNA
GCAGAAUCUACGGCAGACAUUUCAGUUGUCCGUUCCAGCUAAGCAGCUUUAAGGAGUUGAAUAAUUGCUUUGCAGAGUCAAGAGGAAGCUGUGGAAGGGAAGACAGAAAGAAUGAACGACUAAAACGGAACAAGCGCCAGAGUGGGUGAGGAGAGUUGGUUUACACUGCAAUCAGCAUUAAGGAAAUUGGUUUGCACUUGCGCUGCAAGUGGAGAGAGGUGAUUGAUGCUAAGCUAGGCUAGCAGGAAGGAAGUGGAGAAAUUAGCGGCAGGCAAGGGCACCGAGAGCUGUCAACUACUUCCUGGUCCAUCUGGGGUGUGAAGUAUGCGUCCACUGCCAGCCCUCGUGCACCACUUGUGCUGGUUGUUCACAGUGACUCCCUGGCUUGAUUUAUCUGAUGGAAGGAAAUCUGCACAGAGCUCCGGUGGUAUCCCUAUACUGUAACCUUUCCCCCCGCCAGAUGUUCCUCUCUCAAAACACGUUGGUGCCGCCGAUAACGCCGGUCCCCCUGGAGGAGGAGGCGACUCCUCUUUUCAUUCGCACUCCAGCGUAUUAAUUGCUUUUUAAUGUUUCCCUUCUCUGCUGAAAGUUGUUUUGCGUACUAACAAAUCAACAAUAAUAAGGUUCUUUCGGGCUGUUUGCAGGCCAGAGCCAAGACUAAAAGGGUACAGUCACUGAAUAAUCCAUGCAUUGGAAUGAAGGAUUCGAGCUGGUAACAGAAGAGUUGUAACAGGAGGCCAUUUGGCUUUCUUUCUGCUUCGUCCCAAGUGUCCUCCGCUGCCAGCUGUGCGAAUGUCGCAGAAUGGGACUUUGUGGGAGCGAGACUGGGAAGACGUAAUACUGAAGCAACUAAUACAUCUAACUCAAUGAAGCAUUGUGACAUGCCGCUUCCCCCUUGAGCCACAACUUUGGGCAAAAUUUGAGUUUUUAGCAUUUAUAAUUUAUCCACACAGCUCCGUAUCCCAUGCCUUAGUGCCUCUGCGAAAUAGAUAUGAUGUUAAUCAUUACAAUUUCGAAAAUUAGGAAGGGGAAAUUACAAUAGCUCCUUUUUAUCAACUCACACUGUGACAUGUUUUUAUUGUAGGCUGAAACAUUUUCAGACAAAAGGUUUCAGCCACAUAGAUAUUUUAAUCACUUGGGAUUGGUUUUGCCUCAUCAUUUUUGAUAAUAGCAAGAGCUCUCCUCAUGCAGCAUGAGGGGGACUGUCGGAUUGGUAUAAGAAGUAACAAAUUACGUGAUUAAUUUGUUGCAGGCUUUAGCAGCCCUUUGACGUCUCUGCUCAGUAGCCUACAGCAGAAACAAGAGCUCUCACUGCUUAAGCUGUUAACCUACAACUUGCCGCUGCCCGCAACAUGAUUCCUACUCGUAACACACAAGGGAAGGACAAGCAAGGUAAUAAGACGUAUUUAUAAUUUUGUAAAAAGAAAGAGCUCAUAACUGAACCACAUGGUCAGCAGACUUAAUUAAACCAUUGAAAUAACACAUUUAGCGCUGUCUGUGAUUUGUUUAGGAUAUCUGGUUUAUUCUUCUACAACAUAUGGUCCCAAGAUACGGCGGUUCUUUUUUUUAUUGAUAUUCUUUCGAAAAUAGCAACUCACAAUAGUCAGAAAAGUUACUAUUAUACAAUUAAACAAUGACAUUGAGACCAUUAGGCAAUGUCUUGGUUCUUUUAUAUGCAUGUUGGACUUCUAUACUUCUUCAUACUUCAUCUUCCAACAUAUCUUUAAGCCUAGAAAAUAAAAGUACAGUUUGCUUGGAAAGAACAAGUUUUCAAAUGCGCGGCCAGGCAGCAACAGUGCAUUGAGUGAGGAACGCACAGGGUGCAGGGGGGGGUCAUCAGCGAGUGUUUGGAGCUUGAGUUACAGGGCCAGCAUCUGCCAUCCGGCCAUCAGGCCCUCAUAUCCAUCACUGGCCGAUGGCGUGGUGCAGCCCGGCGUUUAUAAAAACACCCAGAGGAAAUGGAGUCUCUGGGCCAGACAAGAAUAAAAUUAGCUUGAUGACUAAGUUCCUCCUCAGGUCCCGGCGGGAAUAGAACUCUGCCAUUUGUUUUCAUUACUUCCC